ensembl:lncRNA LINC00499 long intergenic non-protein coding RNA 499
AUAACUGGAACUCUGGGAAUGUAACGGGCAUGGUGUGCUUGUCUGAUGGACAGGGCAGCUUAGGGGAAUAAGUCUCUGCAGCGUUGUAGUGAAGAGAGAAUACGGGACAACUGCAGGACCACAGCUCAGCCAAGACACAACCACAUGACUGAAGACAGAGAUCAUCUGGGUCAGUGUUUCAGAAAAUGUUGCCAAGAAACUUCAAAUGCAGAUUCCUGGACCUCCGUGCAAACUACUAUAUUAGAAGCUCCCUUGCAGCUGAGUUGGCCAUAUGACUGACAGCAAGCCCUGGAAUGCAGCCAGAAGUGAUAGAAGCCUCUUUCACACCAUGCUCCUAAAAUAUUCCAAGAAAUUUUCCAAACCUACUCUUUUUAGUCUGUGCAUCUGGAAGUGAAAGUUUUAGAAAGGGUAAAGUCACUUAAUGGAAAGGGCCCAGAUCUAGCCCCUCGGAGCCAAGCUGUCCAACUAGAAAUUCUGCAUUAGUAUUUGCGACCCCAGUAAAAAAAAAAAAGUCCCACAAAGAUGUAGGAUCUCACUUUGCCUGCGUUAAUUCCCUGUCCUUUGCCCAGUUUCUCCUCUCUUGGAAGGCAGAGGCAGCUUCUGAUUUUGAUCACUUCAUGUCCAGGUAAGCAGCGCUGGGAAGCACAUGGGGGGAGGUCAUUGAAGAGAAGAGCUACCAUGCUUCCAGCUUCACUCAGGACACAGACUGCAAAGGCUCAAUUGUCCAGAACAAAACAAUCUUGAUCUGAAGCUUGACAAUCCCUAUUUGCAGAACACUUACUGGCAUUAGCUGAACAUUUGCUUUUCUUUAAAACCUUUCUCCCUGGAAACGUCACAUGCAGGGUAGCUCACCUCUGUCAUGGGAAUGGCACCUCCUGUAGUUGAGGUGAAAACUGGAAAGAUGAAAAAACUGGCCUGUUCUUAACCUGAACUUCCAUGAACGCUUGGGAGCAUUCAAUAAGGUACUCCAAAGCCUAAGUGAAGGAUGAGUGGAGAGGCAAGAUAAAAAUGUGGUUAUUCUUAUGACUUAAUAUCUUGGAAAACUCAGAUCUGUUGGUGCUUGAUUUAUUUGCAGAUUUCUAUAAUGUGAGAAAACUAAGCAGAGCUCACAGGAUUAACAUUUCUCUAUUUUUAGUACACACAUACACAUAAAGCACAGUUACUCAAUGACCAAGGAGAAAACUUCCAAAAAACCUCUUAUGCAGGAGAGCCCUGCCCAGAUUUUCAGGUCUUGAUGUUCAGUUCCAUUAGCAUAGCAGGUCAAUAUCCAUUAAGUGUAGACAGUCCCUCAGACAGUAAGAACCACUGUGGGUUAGUGGUUCAGAGCAUGGUUUUGGAGGUGCACUGCUGGGCUUGGAAUCCUAGCUUGCCUAUUCAAUAUUAUGUGACUCUAUGUACAUUAUUUAACCCCUUGGAGCUUCACUCUUAUCUAUGAAGUGGAGAGGAGAUGAUGAUAAUGUACCUCCCUCACAAGUAUUUAAUAAAAGUGAUGAACUUGGAAAAGUAUAUGUAACGCACUGAGUGCUUUACAAGCAUUAGUCAUACCUAAAUUGGCAUUUGAACACUACAUUAGAAAGAAAGUUGGAGAAAAUAGUGGGUAGGCUCUGUUGUCUUAGGAUGAGAAAGUAUUGUUUAAAUGAUUUUUAAAAAGAAGAAGAAAAUAAAAAAUCCUUGGGAGCAUAAAAAGAAAUAAGGCCCAAGAGUGUUGUGAUAACAUAUUAUUCAAGAAGAAGAAAGGUCCUUGAACUACGGCAAUAAGGAUAAAUGUGUUUCUCAUGAACAUUUAAAAAUUUCUGUGAUUGAAUCAGCCAACCAUUAAAUUUUAAAUUAAGAAAGACUUAUAGAGAAUAUAGACAACCAUCUAGGCAACAAAAAUGAAGAUUAAAAGAAGUAUUAAUAUGAUUUUUAUGUAAUCUCUUUAUAAUAUUAAUAUAAAUGUCUGCAAAGUAGACAAGUGUAGGUAUACCAAAACUUCUGUACAAAAAAUUAAACUCAGAUUAAGUAUUCCUAACAAAUCAAGCAAGUUGCCCACAGAAAAUAUAUUUUUGCUUUCAUAUGUAAACACAUCUAAAUACCUAUUACAAAAGAAAAUGCAAGAAAAAUGCUUUCUUUUUACAUUCACCCCAAGGUAGCAAUAAUGUUACUAGUUCCACUUGGGAUUUAUUCACAUAUUCAUUAUAUGAAUGAUGUAUAGAUAUAUACAUAUGUAGAGAGAGAUCAGUUUCCUGACCAC